UAUAAUCGUAGGGGUCAUCAACAGACUCUCACUCUUAAAAUAAAGCUCUAAUCAUUGUAUGCCAAGUACCAUAGGUUUGCUUUUAUUUUCAUUACCAAGACCUUCAGAUAGGCCAGCUUGGAUCACUAUAGGACUUCUUUUAGGCUUGUAAUAUAGGCUUGGGCUGAUAUGAUACUCAAGGACAUUUAGAGUGACUAUGCCUCCUUGACACUACACUACUCUCUUG
rnacentral:lncRNA from 1 species